rnacentral:rRNA from 1 species
AGAGUUUGAUCCUGGCUCAGGAUGAACGCUGGCGGCGCGCCUAACACAUGCAAGUCGAACGAGAGAGAGGGAGCUUGCUUCCUCAAUCGAGUGGCGAACGGGUGAGUAACGCGUGAGGAACCUGCCUCAAAGAGGGGGACAACAGUUGGAAACGACUGCUAAUACCGCAUAAGCCCACAGGUCGGCAUCGACCAGAGGGAAAAGGAGCAAUCCGCUUUGAGAUGGCCUCGCGUCCGAUUAGCUAGUUGGUGAGGUAAUGGCCCACCAAGGCGACGAUCGGUAGCCGGACUGAGAGGUUGAACGGCCACAUUGGGACUGAGACACGGCCCAGACUCCUACGGGAGGCAGCAGUGGGGAAUAUUGCACAAUGGGGGAAACCCUGAUGCAGCGACGCCGCGUGGAGGAAGAAGGUCUUCGGAUUGUAAACUCCUGUUGUUGAGGAAGAUAAUGACGGUACUCAACAAGGAAGUGACGGCUAACUACGUGCCAGCAGCCGCGGUAAAACGUAGGUCACAAGCGUUGUCCGGAAUUACUGGGUGUAAAGGGAGCGCAGGCGGGAAGACAAGUUGGAAGUGAAAUCUAUGGGCUCAACCCAUAAACUGCUUUCAAAACUGUUUUUCUUGAGUAGUGCAGAGGUAGGCGGAAUUCCCGGUGUAGCGGUGGAAUGCGUAGAUAUCGGGAGGAACACCAGUGGCGAAGGCGGCCUACUGGGCACCAACUGACGCUGAGGCUCGAAAGUGUGGGUAGCAAACAGGAUUAGAUACCCUGGUAGUCCACACCGUAAACGAUGAAUACUUAGUGUCGGGGGA